UCCUUGUAGUCUGCGUGCUGGCCGCCAGCGCCCAGGGUAAGUUGUCUGUUGGUUCUCCAGAUCUUGCCCCGAUGGCUUACAGCUUGCUUCUAUAUGAAA